GCUCAGGAUAAACGCGGGCGGCGUGCAUGAGACAUGCAAGUCGAACGGACGAUCAGGGCUUGCUCUGAUCGUUAGUGGCGGACGGCUGAGUAACGCGUAGGUGACCUGCCCCGAAGUGGGGAAUAACUGCCCGAAAGGGUGGCUAAUACCGCAUGUGGUGGUGUGUUCAUUCACACCAGUAAAGCCGCAAGGCGCUUCGGGAGGGGCCUGCGUCCGAUUAGCUCGUUGGUGGGGUAACGGCUCACCAAGGCGACGAUCGGUAGGUGGUCUGAGAGGACGAUCACCCAGACUGGGACUGAGACACGGCCCAGAAUCCUACGGGAGGCAGCAGUCGGGAAUUUUGCGCAAUGGGCGAAAGCCUGACGCAGCAACGCCGCGUGAGGGAUGACGGCCUUCGGGUUGUAAACCUCUUUUAUCAGGGAAGAUAAUGACGGUACCUGAUGAAUAAGUCACGGCUAACUACGUGCCAACAGCCGCGGUAAUACGUAGGUGACAAGCGUUGUCCGGAUUUACUGGGCGUAAAGAGCGCGCAGGCGGUCGUUCAAGUCGAGUGUGAAAGCCCCCGGCUCAACUGGGGAGGGUCAUUCGAUACUGAUCGACUCGAAGGCAGGAGAGGGAAGUGGAAUUCCCGGUGUAGUGGUGAAAUGCGUAGAUAUCGGGAGGAACACCAGUGGCGAAGGCGACUUCCUGGCCUGUUCUUGACGCUGAGGCGCGAAAGCUAGGGGAGCAAACGGGAUUAGAUACCCCGGUAGUCCUAGCCGUAAACGAUGGACACUAGGUGUUGGUGGUAUCAACCCCGCCAGUGCCGAAGCUAACGCAUUAAGUGUCCCGCCUGGGGA
rnacentral:rRNA from 1 species